UACGUAGGUGGCAAGCGUUGUCCGGAUUUAUUGGGCGUAAAGCAUGCGUAGGCGGAUAUUUAAGUGGGAUGUGAAAUCCCGGGGCUCAACUCCGGUCUUGCAUUCCAAACUGGAUAUCUAGAGUACAGGAGAGGAAAGUGGAAUUCCUAGUGUAGCGGUGAAAUGCGUAGAGAUUAGGAAGAACACCAGUGGCGAAGGCGACUUUCUGGACUGUAACUGACGCUGAGGCAUGAAAGCGUGGGUAGCAAACAGG
rnacentral:rRNA from 1 species